UAGCCUAAAUCAAAUCGUAAUGUGCGUGUCUGUGAAUAUACAACGCAAAAAGACUGGUGUGCAAGCCCCUUCUAUAUUCAGCGUGUCUCUGUAUGAAUGAGCAGCGCCGUUUCGUCUAGUAGAUCUAGUACACACUCAAGUACGCAUGACGCUCAUGGUUUUUAAAGCUGUCUCAGCCACUACGAAGACGUGAACACAUGAACAUAUCUAGACAGAGAACACUUAAUGUGCACUUUAUAAUUAUUUUUUAAAAGAAUAAUCAUCAAAUACACUGACUGAAACUCAUAGGUGUUCAGUACAACCUGUAAAAAAAAAAGUUUGGUUUAGCCUAUGACUAAAAUAUAUUACUAUUGUGUAUAGUUUUUUUUGUCCAUGUUUUAAUUUAUUAAACUUCUCUUGUGUAGACAAACUAAAGUUGUUACAUUUUAUCUGAUUGCAUUCUCAAAAAUACAUUUUGUAUUCAAUCACAGAAUCCAGACCAGUUAUUUCAGACAACCCAGAAUUUCUGAGGAAAUAAAUAUACAUUUCAUAAAGACUCUAUUGAAAAAAACUUUGUUACAAUAAACCAUGUUCAA